rnacentral:rRNA from 1 species
UACGGGGGGAGCAAGCGUUGUUCGGAUUUACUGGGCGUAAAGGGCGCGUAGGCGGCCACCGCAAGUCGACUGUGAAAUCUCCGGGCUUAACCCGGAAAGGUCAGCCGAUACUGCGGGGCUAGAGUGCAGAAGGGGCAACUGGAAUUCUCGGUGUAGCGGUGAAAUGCGUAGAUAUCGAGAGGAACACCUGCGGCGAAGGCGGGUAGCUGGGCCAACACUGACGCUGAGGUGCGAAAGCGUGGGGAGCAAACAGG